AUAUGGGCAUGAUUGGUUGCCCUCAUAAGAGCCAAUAAAAGGCCCUCUUCUUCAACCUUCUUCUCCUUUUGGUAGAACUCGAAUUUGUCGGUGAAUCCGGUAGAAAAAUCCCGGAUCUUGCUGGUUUUGAGAUUAGAUUCGGCGACUGAGGCAUUCCACCAUCCGAGACAAAAGCAGUGAUCGCGCGCGAACCGCCGUCUAUCGCAACACUGCUGGGGAGCUGGCGUUGGUGGAUGUUGGUAGAAUCGGCAGUGAUGACAGAAGCAGGUUUUGGAUAAGCUGAUUGCCGUUGUGUAUGAAGAUAUGGAGGGUAUUUUGAGAGGAGUUAGGAAGAGAUUUGAUGUCGUAGGCCUGGAAUUUCCAAAAGUCGAGGUUCGGUUUGAAGAAAAAGUGGGGGUUCGUUAAAAGCCGCUUUGAGAAUGUGAUUCUUCUUGACAAAAGGUUGGCUGGGGAUCGUCACUGAAAUUAAAAAUGAAGGGCAACUUGGCAAAAUUGAGGCGUGCGGAAGAAAAGAGGGAGGGGCAGCGGCAGUUUGAAGCGAACCUCGUCAGUUUUAGAUUGUUAAACAAGAAUAUUGUGGAGUAAUUUCAGGGAUUUGUGCUCAACAAUCUCUGGAGGCCUAUUUUUGCUAGUUGAAUGUUGUGUAGAGGUAAGAAAUUUAUGGAAGAGUAGUUUAUUAGAAUUGUUGUUUAUCUAAAAUGAUGUGUAUAAUUUAGUCGAAUUGCAAGCGGAAUUUCUUUCUUGUUGGAGUGUGCAUUAUGAGGAUACAAUGGUAUCAAGUUAAGAAGUUGGGAGCUUGUGUUUCGUGAUGGUUAAGAACAACCACAGAGCUUCAUCUUUGUGAAUGUUUUUAUGCUGUUCUUGUUUAAGAGCACUGAUUUUUUUA